UACGGGGGGGGGCAAGCGUUGUUCGGAAUUACUGGGCGUAAAGGGCUCGUAGGCGGCCAACUAAGUCAGACGUGAAAUCCCUCGGCUUAACCGGGGAACUGCGUCUGAUACUGGAUGGCUUGAGAUUGGGGAGAGGGAUGCGGAAUUCCAGGUGUAGCGGUGAAAUGCGUAGAUAUCAGGAGGAACACCGAUGGCGAAGGCAGGUCUCUGGGCCGAUACUGACGCUGAGGAGCGAAAGCGUGGGGGAGCGAACAGG
rnacentral:rRNA from 1 species